rnacentral:misc_RNA from 1 species
AAGUCGUAACAAGGUUUCCGUAGGUGAACCUGCGGAAGGAUCAUUAAAGAGAACUUUGACGAGGAUGCGCUGGCUUUGCAAGUGCGCUCCUCGACAUCUUUUCAAAACCCCCUGUGCAUCUUUAUUUGACGUGUGGCCUCCUCCUAGCGAGGGGACCGUCGUCGACUUUCAAAACAUACCCCAUGACGUUUGAACUCGGAGAAUGUAAAACACAUAAUAAUACAACCAUCAGCAACGGAUCUCUUGGCAUUC